CUUUGAAGUAAAUUUUUGCAUUGGUUGAAGAAUGCAGGUAAAUUCAUUGAUGACUAUUGAAGCUAAAAAGAAGUAUGAGUUUUUAGAAUCCAUAAGUGCAAUUAUGGAUGCCCAUCUGAGAUAUUUUAAACUUGGAUAUGACUUGUUGAAUCAACUGGAACCAUUUAUUCAUCAGAUAUUAACAUUUGCUCAACAAUCAAAAGAACAGUCUAAGAUUGAACAAGAUCGACUAGCAAGACGCAUUCAAGAAUUCAG